UACGAAGGGGGCUAGCGUUGUUCGGAUUUACUGGGCGUAAAGCGCACGUAGGCGGAUUGUUAAGUUGGGGGUGAAAUCCCAGGGCUCAACCCUGGAACUGCCUUCAAUACUGGCAAUCUAGAGUCCGGAAGAGGUGAGUGGAACUCCUAGUGUAGAGGUGGAAUUCGUAGAUAUUAGGAAGAACACCAGUGGCGAAGGCGGCUCACUGGUCCGGUACUGACGCUGAGGUGCGAAAGCGUGGGGAGCAAACAGG
rnacentral:rRNA from 1 species